GAAAUACUUCUCCACAGCAAGUAGGCUACUCAGAACAGCUAGGCUGCUCUCCUGACUGGGUCCUGGAGCCUACAGUAAGGGGUGAAACGACUGUGUGACCUGGGCUGCAAACUCAGAAUGCUCUUCUUGCACUCACCUACAUUGUCCCACUACGGGAAAGUAGAACAUCGGCUGCACCCUUCCCACCUCUUGACUGGCUUCUAAUGCCACUACUGAUUGCAGCCGGUAGCAACAAGAAGAAGCACUGAGUGAUGUGUGUGGUCCCAAGAAGGACAGGAGGACAUAGUACACAUUCAAGUGGAAGAAAUACAUUUGCAAUACACACACACAGUACAACUCUGUCCCUUAUGUGGGGUGUAGACCGGCCUAAAUCUGUUCAAUUUGUGCUCAUUUCUCAUUUCCAUAAAAUACUGUAUGUAAAAUGUGUCCUUUGUUCAGUUCAAAGCAAUAAACAUCAAUAGUGA